GAACAAUCAAUCAUAUCAGUCAUUUCCCUUUCUUCUAGCCCACUUAUUCAACGCACAUGUGUAUCACUAAACGUGUGUUUGAUUGGUGGAAGAGGGGGCUGCCAAAGCCGCCCCUUCCAUGCUUUUAUUAGCAUGGAAGGGGUGGCUUCUAUGAAACAACAUCAAAAUAUGUUCUUUCAUGCACUGCUGGAAACUGCAAGCUCUACUUUGCGGCUUCCAAUGGGGUGUGAUCAAACACAGGAGGCAGAUUUUGGUGGAACUCGGGUCUCCCACUCCCAAAAAGUUCUAUCAAUCCAACACACCCUACACUCACAACAAUCAUUCAUAAUCUGCUUGAAUGUAAAGUUAACAUUAUCAUCAAAGCCUUUUCCCAACUAAUUAGGGUCGGCUUGCUUGAAUGUAAAGUACCAUGCCUAAAUGGAAUUAAUCACAUAAGGAUGUACAAGUUUUAAAAAGGAUUUUACACAUAUUCACAAUUAUAGAGGCGCAUGACUAAAAUUCACUUAAAAUGCUAUGUUAUUCUAUCCACAGCAGAUAUCAAAUAAUAGAUCCCUUCAAAAUGGAGAAGUAACUCAUCAAAUCAGUAACAAGAAAUCAAAGACUAGUCAUGAAAGUAGAGAAAAUCAUGACCAAUUUAAAUGCAUGAUGCAUCAAUAUAUGUAACAAAAGACUUCAAAAAGAUGACAAAGCCACAUUCACUAGUUAUACAAAUGCAUAAGUUAUUAAUGCCACACCAUGUGUAAGAAACAAAUACAACCAAUAUUCAGAAAAUUCCAUCAUACCAGCACCAAUAUUGUGCCAUAUAUUUCAAGCACAAAUACGCAUGAACACCCAGAUCGACCAAAACAUUAGUUUCAGUAAAUUUACAAAGUACAUAUCUCUUUAACACUCCAAAAGAUAAAGAGCAUUUACGAUCUUCAACAAGAUUAUCCAGUUAUCCAUGUCUAAUGUAUCGAAAUACUUAUCAAAAUGGAUUUUUUCACACAAUCUUCAAGGAAAACUAUAGGACAAGAAUAUUCAUCUUAAUUUACCAAUAUGCAUCAACAUACAUAAAGAUUCAAGUUACAGUAAAAAAUAGUCGUUGAAAUCUCAUGUUUCAACGAUAAAAAUACAUAAAAACCCAAAUAUUAGCCAUGACAUCCUUCUAUUUCAGACCAAAUCCAUUUAAGAAAUGAGGAUAUUUCUCAGAUCAGGCAAUCAGAACAAAUAUCAUCACUCAAGAGAUCGAUAAUGUAAGUCAUAGAAGCAAUGAAACCCAUUUAAGAACUCUUUUUCCAAGAUACUUUGCAGCUGCAUGCAUUGACAAAAUUACACGAAUUUCAAGUCAAUUAUUUAAGCCUUAGGGAACAUAGACCACCAUUUUGACUUUGUCAUAGAGAUAUUUUGCAGGAAAAGUCCGAUUCAUAAAAAAAUAGCCACAAUUUCAAAGGAAUUCCCAACCCUAAGAAGAACAGGACACCAACUGUAGAGCUCAUUUAUGAAAGAUUUCGUAUAGAAAAGGAUCCAAAAUUGAGUUCCUAGAGAGAACAAAUCACUAUUUUAGACCUAUAGUUUUCAAGAGCCUGCGAUGCUAAACUGCUGAAUGACAUGUGAACAGUCAAAGGUGAGAAGGUGUCAUAGACCUCAUAAGAUGCCAUUUCAAACCUAGAUUUAAUAGUUCUUCACAAAAGAAAUAAUGCAGUGAAAGAGCAGCAGUAGCAUCAAGCAGAGCAAAAAUCCAAGCAUUUUAGCCCUGGCUUUCAUGAGAUUUGAUGCAUAAAUGCCAAACAACAAUUUUUUUUCACAACCAAAAUCCAAACUCUCACAGAGAACAAAACACCAUUUUAGAGUUAAACACCAUUUUAGAGUUAUUCUCCAAUAUAUUUAUCGGCUGAUUAACAAACAGGCCAUCAGAAAAGCCCUAAAGCCCUAAACUAUAGAGUACUUCAUCUUUUACUUAUUUUCGCACAGAUUCUCAGAAAAAAGAAAUGGAGAGCCAAAUCACAUGGAAAUUAAGUAAAGUGAGCCAAAAUGAAGCAAAAAAUGACAUCGUAGGCCAAUUUCACCUAGUUUCAAGGGAUUUUUACCUAUAAAUGACGUGAAAAUGAGAAUUUAAAGAGAAAAUGAGAAUUUGAAGAAAAAAUGAGAUCAGUGACCGCUUACCUCGAUCUGUUAUGCCGGAUCUGAGAGAUGAAGAAGAUGAGAAGAGCUUUUCCUGUUCCUCCUGUUACUCUUUGAAUUGAAGAUAGAGAAAGAGAGACAUGGGGGCUUAAAAUGAGAAAAUGAUAGGUGAGACCGACACUUAUAUAUGGCUAAAUAAUUUGAAAUUUGACGAUAAAAGGCCCUGAAACUUUAUAUAUUGACAUGCGUACCCAUAAUUUUAAGAUGAUUAUUUUGCCCCUGGUCGGUGAUUUGAGGCGUUUGUAUAUCUACUUUUAUCCGCGAUUGUGUACAACGAGAUUAUUUAUUUGUUUUACAAAGAAUCACAAUUAUUUUUGGCCCAUGAACUCUAUGAAAGUACGAGAACUUUUAUUUUGAAUUUUGAGCUAAAAUAAUAAUAUAUCCUCGACCAUUUGAUUUUCGAAUCUAACUGUCAACGAUGAUU
rnacentral:lncRNA from 1 species